GGUUAAGCGACUAAGCGUACACGGUGGAUGCCCUGGCAGUCAGAGGCGAUGAAGGACGUGCUAAUCUGCGAUAAGCGUCGGUAAGGUGAUAUGAACCGUUAUAACCGGCGAUUUCCGAAUGGGGAAACCCAGUGUGAUUCGUCACACUAUCAUUAACUGAAUCCAUAGGUUAAUGAGGCGAACCGGGGGAACUGAAACAUCUAAGUACCCCGAGGAAAAGAAAUCAACCGAGAUUCCCCCAGUAGCGGCGAGCGAACGGGGAGCAGCCCAGAGCCUGAAUCAGUGUGUGUGUUAGUGGAAGCGUCUGGAAAGGCGUGCGAUACAGGGUGACAGCCCCGUACACAAAAAUGCACAUACUGUGAGCUCGAUGAGUAGGGCGGGACACGUGGUAUCCUGUCUGAAUAUGGGGGGACCAUCCUCCAAGGCUAAAUACUCCUGACUGACCGAUAGUGAACCAGUACCGUGAGGGAAAGGCGAAAAGAACCCCGGCGAGGGGAGUGAAAAAGAACCUGAAACCGUGUACGUACAAGCAGUGGGAGCACGCUUAGGCGUGUGACUGCGUACCUUUUGUAUAAUGGGUCAGCGACUUAUAUUCUGUAGCAAGGUUAACCGAAUAGGGGAGCCGAAGGGAAACCGAGUCUUAACUGGGCGUUAAGUUGCAGGGUAUAGACCCGAAACCCGGUGAUCUAGCCAUGGGCAGGUUGAAGGUUGGGUAACACUAACUGGAGGACCGAACCGACUAAUGUUGAAAAAUUAGCGGAUGACUUGUGGCUGGGGGUGAAAGGCCAAUCAAACCGGGAGAUAGCUGGUUCUCCCCGAAAGCUAUUUAGGUAGCGCCUCGUGAAUUCAUCUCCGGGGGUAGAGCACUGUUUCGGCAAGGGGGUCAUCCCGACUUACCAACCCGAUGCAAACUGCGAAUACCGGAGAAUGUUAUCACGGGAGACACACGGCGGGUGCUAACGUCCGUCGUGAAGAGGGAAACAACCCAGACCGCCAGCUAAGGUCCCAAAGUCAUGGUUAAGUGGGAAACGAUGUGGGAAGGCCCAGACAGCCAGGAUGUUGGCUUAGAAGCAGCCAUCAUUUAAAGAAAGCGUAAUAGCUCACUGGUCGAGUCGGCCUGCGCGGAAGAUGUAACGGGGCUAAACCAUGCACCGAAGCUGCGGCAGCGACGCUUAUGCGUUGUUGGGUAGGGGAGCGUUCUGUAAGCCUGUGAAGGUGUGCUGUGAGGUAUGCUGGAGGUAUCAGAAGUGCGAAUGCUGACAUAAGUAACGAUAAAGCGGGUGAAAAGCCCGCUCGCCGGAAGACCAAGGGUUCCUGUCCAACGUUAAU
rnacentral:rRNA from 1 species